GAUCAUUAGUGAAUAUAGGACGUCCAACUUAACUUGGAGUCCGAACUCUCACUUUCUAACCCUGUGCAUUUGUUUGGGAUAGUAACUCUCGCAAGAGGGCGAACUCCUAUUCACUUAUAAACACAAAGUCUAUGAAUGUAUUAAAUUUUAUAACAAAAUAAAACUUUCAACAACGGAUCUCUUGGCUCUCGCAUCGAUGAAGAACGCAGCGAAAUGCGAUAAGUAAUGUGAAUUGCAGAAUUCAGUGAAUCAUCGAAUCUUUGAACGCACCUUGCGCUCCAUGGUAUUCCGUGGAGCAUGCCUGUUUGAGUGUCAUGAAUACUUCAACCCUCCUCUUUCUUAAUGAUUGAAGAGGUGUUUGGUUUCUGAGCGCUGCUGGCCUUUAGGGUCUAGCUCGUUCGUAAUGCAUUAGCAUCCGCAAUCGAACUUCGGAUUGACUUGGCGUAAUAGACUAUUCGCUGAGGAAUUCUAGUCUUCGGACUAGAGCCGGGUUGGGUUAAAGGAAGCUUCUAAUCAGAAUGUCUACAUUUUAAGAUUAGAUCUCAAAUCAGGUAGGACUACCCGCUGAACUUAAGCAUAUCAAUAAGCGGAGGA
rnacentral:misc_RNA from 1 species